rnacentral:rRNA from 1 species
UGCCGCGUGUGUGAAGAAGGCCUUUUGGUUGUAAAGCACUUUAAGCGAGGAGGAAGCUACUUAGAUUAAUACUCUGGGAUAUUGGACGUUACUCGCAGAAUAAGCACCGGCUAACUCUGUGCCAGCAGCCGCGGUAAU